AAGAAUAAAAUUAAUAUCUCUUAACUUUCACAACCAGAAAUACUAUAAGACCGACAUCUAGUAAUUUCCGUUCAAUAUCAAUUAAUAACCUCUCAACUUAAAAAAAACCAGACCUACACACAAUUUAGUUCAUUUUUCCCAUUAGGAGAAACGGAGGAGAAAAACGAGAAUAUAGCAUUGAUUCACUUUCAAAACGAAAAGUAUGCAUGUUGCAAUUUAGAGGGCAGUAUAUCAUUAAGAUGUCCUGCAAGUGAGAGAGAGAAAGUCUCGUGGCACGACAAGAAACCCUAUUUGCAUGAAAGACGAUGAAUUGGCAGCGAGUGGUAGGCCUGAUUACACGGUAACCAGCGGAGAAGCAUCUGUUCUCAUCGCAACUUCAUACUGCUUCCAGACUGUAAGACCCACUCUCCACGCACUCUUCUGAAGAAUAUAACCAGCUCGCCAAAAAACAAGAUCACUAAAACGACACCCGUAUCACAAGCAGGCUACCGGCCAAAAAACUUUCCCUCGAACAGGCCAAUCGGCAAAACGAGAUCAACUCACUCUGCAGAGGCGGCGACAUCAUAACCCGAAUGCAAGGAGCCACAAUCAGGGCUAGCUCUCGUUGUAGCCAAAGCUGGACACCCGACCAUAACACCAACCACAUCAUCUUCCUCGUUUCCAUCUUCACGAUUCCUCAGAAAAGCAUCCAAAUAAUGUUCAUCGGUGGAAGGUAACUCGUAGACGGUGCCAGGUGUCCAAUUACUGGGUAGAUCCCGUCGAUUGGCAGAUUCAUCGUCAAUUUUGUUAACUUGAUCGUUUUUCCUGGCGUAUAGUUUACGGAGACUUGACAUGACUUCUUAAGGAGUUGACCCAUGUAAAUAUGCCAUCUGAAUUGUUGCUGGUUUCCAAGAAAUAUUCGCUUGGCAAUUUGAAAGUAGCAUUGGAAUAACUGUUCUUCUAUAAUUGAUGUAUGUAAGUUAACAUCUUUUGUUCUCGUUUAGAGGGGGCUGAUGUCAGUCAUUAUGAAGCAUUAUCUCUUCUAGUAGCAAAACCUUCGUUCUUAUGUUUUGUUGUUGUAUACUAUCAGUAUAGGAGUAACUUUAUUAUCGCUGAUGAAUGCUAAUGUAUUGAAAUUAAUUUCUGCCUGAUCCUAGUCAACAGUAUAUCGUCUCUUCCUCAUGACUUCUCUUACAGUCUUACAGAAUCGUGUCUGGAAUCCUAAGAUUGGAAGAGCCAGGCGUCGAAAGUCCACGAUUCUAUGCAUGUCAUCAUCGACCCAAUGCUUCAUAAGGACUAAAAAACUCGGUGGCUCCUCCAAGUCUGCCAUUUACUCAAUACUUUAACCAUUUUGAAAGAGCCAAAAAAGUGGUAUUGGCAUUUGGCUGACGGUGUACCAUGUUUUUUUCAGUUCCUCGGGUUGGCACGCGCUGUUGGAACACCAAGAGAUUCUCCAGGAUACGGCAAGGACGCGUCGAAGGGACAGGGACAACGGAGAAAGCGAGCGUCGUAAGGAAGGAAGGAGGAAAGAUAGUAGGCAAUGAAGAGGAAAAGAAGAGACAAAGAUGCAGCUAGGAAGGAGGAACAGAGAGAACUAAACCAAGGGGGAGAGGGAAAGAGCGUACAAUGUGCAGAAUGGGAAGAGAGCAAGAGAAAGGAGAGGGAGAGGCAAUCUCACUCUCAGUGACACGUAAACUGGACUGCAGAAGCAAACAUAGCCUCGUCGUUGGCGAUGUCCCGCAGGCUCACUGCAAGUGGUUGCAAAUGUUCGUCGUAAUGACGCUGCCGUUUUUCUGGAGUAUAUCCACUUGAUGCCCUCGCCUUGCCCAAGAAACACGGUAAUGGUUCUUGGCUGAUCGUUAACCGACUGGUUCACUUGGAAAUGCGAUGUUAAUUGGUUAUUAAUCGACCAUUAACCAGAUGGCCUCGAUAAAACCGGAACAUUUUGCUUCGUAUAUCGGCAAACUAUUCUAUUGGAUCUUUUAUUGCAUCGAACAGACGCAUACGCACGAAUUCAUUAACGUGAGAUGGUGUAAAAUUACUGGUUAAUUAUAAAUUGGUCAUUAAUCGAUAAGAAAUACCGAAAACAGGAUACAGCAGUCCUUUUGUUCCUACGUUUCUCUCGAAUCUAUAUUUAAAUUCAUAUUUUACAUAUUUAUCUAAAUUAUUUACUGACUUUUAUCAGAGACUAAUUAAUCAUCCAACAACACGUGAUGGAUUUCAGAUUUACAUAUCAUCAUCGUGAAUCUUGAGUUCAAACUCGUUCGCAUUCGAGUAUCAGAGUGCUACCAAAUUAAUUGAUAUUCAAUUAGGUCCCAGGAGUCUUUUUACAGGAAAGUCUUAAACUUAAUGGGAAUUCGUUACCCGAACACAUACUCCAAAUUCCCAAGUAAAGUGGCCAAAAAGCGCGGUUUUAAUUAACACUUCAUUAACCAAAUUGGUAAAGCGUAAUCAGUUUCAGCAAAUUUUUAAUUUACCAAGAAACGUUAAUCACGAUGCAGUGCGUAUCUUAUAUGUCCAAACUAAUUAUUCAAAACGGUGUUCCUAAUUAAAAGUUAAUUAAUCAAUUAGUAGAAAACGAUUCUCUGUAUCAGAAAACAUUGAAUACAUUGGAACGAAUCCUGAUCCAUUUCUGAACGUUACAUUGGGCAAGGAGACCUGCAAUAGGCCUUCUUACGUAAUCCAAGUGGAACGAGUCCUUUUCCGGACUCGAUUCUCGGAUCGUCCCUAAUGAUACGGACUAUCCGCCGCCAAUGAGACAUAAAUCGCUUAAUCAUCGUUACCGUACUCUCCAACAUUCCACCGUUUCUCGUUUCACUCAAUCGUAAGCAUGGAUUAGCAGAAACCUCUAGUCUCCUUUCUGCUUAUUUUACCGCGAUACACAUGAAUGAUUUUUCAGGACGAUUCCAGGAGUAUAGGUUUGUGAUAAUAAUACUGGCUAUGAAUCAUGCUCGGCUCAAUUAAGUCACAACUUCUCCGUUUAUUUCUCUGACAAAUAUCUGUUUAACAUGCUGUUUGCUGAUACAUGGAGAAAUGUAGAAAAGGAAUUUAAAAUUACGGAGGAUGUGAAAGAGUAACAUCUAUUCUGUAAGAAAAUUGUCCAAAGAUUAGAGAAAGGUGUAAUCGUGAGUAUUCGCGACUACUCGGUUAUCCCCACCUUCUGCGUUAUCAUGAAAGGAUCACAGUGCGAUUUUAUGCUCAGCCAAUAAGCAUAGAGUUUUUGUCCCCUCUACUUUACAGCUAAUAUCCUAUAGAAGUGGUAAUAUCCAAGGUGUACGCCUGACUUAGCAUUUAUUCUUACUGGCUAUAAAGCGGGAACUAUAUAAUACGUUUUUAAAUAAUUUACCUCUUCUUCAAAAGCAAUCUUUGUAUUUUGUUAUUAAUUGAUUUUUUGUUUCUGGUAAAAUGAACUGGGAGGAGAAAUUUCUGUUUACUGGUCAUCAAUUAGGCAGAUUCGCAACUUACAGUUGGAGUUCCUUAUUUAUGAUGGCACGCUGUCCGUUCCGUUUGACUUGAGGUUAAAAUAGAUGCAUAAACAUAAAGCUGCAUCUGGAACGAACUGUUAAUACCCAGUAGCAUUUGCUCACGCUGCUUCUCUUUGAUUUCACAUCAUGCAUACGUAAGAAGUCGCAACGAUGUCUGGAUAACGACUGAGUAACACGACUAAUCUUCGGCAGUGGUUUUUAGCAUAUAACACGAACAACUUGUGCAUUCUAAUGCCUAGAAGAACGAGCGAACCGAGACAAAAACCUUUCAUUUGCAAAUGUCCAUAAAUCAAUUUUCUUCAUUAACAUGUAUUCUCGUCAAUCUUUAUUUGAUAUCUUUUCCUCGCUAAAAAUAAUGUUUUACAAAUUACAAAAAAUAUAUUUAAUACGUAAUUAUCUCGUACAAUUCAAAAAAGCUCAUAUAGCCAUUAAAUAUUAUUAUAUAUCUGUCUGUCCAUAAUUACAGAUAUUUCGCUAGUACUAGUAACUACAGUCGACCUUAUAUUCGAGAAUUUGAAGUUAGCGCUUUUAACGUCUCCAUAACCUCACUCGCUCAACAUAACCGCAACCAUAGCGUGCAAAUUUCAUUUCCUCCUUACUUUUUACUUUACUGUAGAGGUCGACUGCGAUUCAGCGAGAUUCUUUCCUCCACAGAACUUACCAUAAGGGUACAUGCCACUAAUGAUCUUUAUUGUAUCAAAGAUCAAAGAUAUUUUAGCAGAAAUAUCGAUGGUGGUUUGCAAACGAUUCAGUACAUGAUAAGUUGCUGCCGAGAUACUGACUCGAUUCUCGUUCGUCGAAGAGCCGAUUAAAAGGGUGGAUCGAAAUUGACGACUUAAUUUAAUUCAGAGGGCAGGCAUACAACGUUGCAACAUCUCUUUUUGGUUCAGCCAGGACAUUCGCUUCCGAGAAUGCCAUGGAGAAAUGUCUUCAUCGAGCUGCUUAGUGGCAACUGCCACAUCACAGUUUUUGCUGCUGUUCCCUUUCAAGCUUUUUAUCGUUCAUGGAAUUGACGAACAUUUCUGGUUCACAGUAUGAUUCUAAACGAGACGAUGAUUCGAUGUAAAAUCAUGGGUUUCAAUCAAAGCUGUACUUCGUCUUCCUUCAAUCAUUCCAAGCAUUUCCUUCAUUUGAAAAGGAUGAAGGUUUCCUCAAUCAAUUUUUUGCCGUUAUGAAUUACCCUUUUUCUAUCGGUCCAGAGGUUCAGACGUCAAUGGUCCGCUAGUUCAAGGUAGAUUGAAAAUUCUGUUAGACAAUUGAAACGCGCAUCUCUGUAAUUGAAUCUUUUUACUCGAAGACUCGAAUAGAUAACCUACAGCACAAAUUUAGUGGUCUAGCUCUUUCAUUCCUAAUUCAUUAAUUUCAUUUCAAUGAUCUACUAUUCAAAAAGCGUUCAUCUCUAUAUCCCAUCAAACAAAAUGGUGACUGUAUCAUUAGUUUAACAGCAGGAAAUAUUUCUAACGCCUAAAGUAACAGGAUCGCUUCUGACACUCUACUAAAACAGGUGGCACACGAUUGUCUGAGAGAAGCCUGGUUGGUUAUGCGCAUGCGCAUGCGCAUACGCGCGCGAGAACACCGUGUAGUAACCGGUACAAGGCACACCAUGUACCGGAAUUAUUAACUGUUAUGCAGAUGAAUCUCUUAUGCUUCUUCCACGCAUAACACCGAGUGCUCGAACUUUUCAACCUCCGCGCCGAAGGCGUUCACUCUAUCCGACCGAGAUCCUCCAUCAUCGACAACGUUGAUCUGAGUACCGCUGCCGUUCUAGCUUUAUACGGUAGCCGCGACUGCUCUCCGCGUUAACGAGCUGCGAAUGCGUGCGUGUCACGAGCUGGGAGGAGAGCAAUUUGCAAUUCUUCUGGUUUUUUUAUCUUGGAUUUUCCGUGAUUCUAUAUAUCAACGAAAGAUCUCUCAUAACUAUAAAAUAUGGGUUACCUUUUUAUAUAGAAGUUUAAGUUUAAGAUUGAGGGAGUAUUUACUUCCUUAUCCCGGAUUUUCUGACAUUUGAAGAAUCAAAGGAAAAUUCUCCUGAUUUUUUAUAAUAUUAUAAAUUAUUUUUAUUGAUUUUAACAUUUUAUUAAUGGAUUGACAAAAUUUUCAGGAGUAUAUAGAAACUUUUUUUUGGUUUCAAAUGAUUAGAAUUUAAAUUCUAAUUUAGAUCUAGAUAUUUUAUACCUUUACGUUAAGAAGGUAGAGUUAAUGAUGGUUUUUGAAUUUCUAGGUUACCGUGACAGCGAGACUUUCCCACAAUUUCUCGACUUUUCCAGCUACUUUCAGUUUUAUUUAAACAUACUACAUUUCUGGGCUUUUACUUUUGGUUUUACUGGUUUUAUACUGGAUUCCAAUGUUGAACUAUUGAGAUAGGCAUUAAUGGACAACGCAUUAAUCGUCUAAACUUCACUAAACAUAAAUCACACAAAUACUUAAACGUUAUCUUCACGACGACUACUCAUUGUUAUUCCCAAUUCUACCUUAUAUAUUCACAAAUUUUAUUCUGUGAGAUUUGUACAAGUUUAUUUACAUACGUUAGAACCAUGUUGUAAUAAUCUAAUGAUCAUUGUUCAACGAAUGAAUCAAUAGUCUACACUAAACACUACGUGUAGAAUACAUAACGUAUCGUAUUUGAAGCGCACUUCCUGGGUUCUCAGAAUAACAGGGUAAGUGACAAUUAUAUGUGUAUACAUAUAUACACAUAUACUUCCCAAUUUCAACUUCAUUCCAACAAAUACAGUAAAAACAAAACAGUCCAUUGAUUCUACAAUUUUGUUCCAUAGUCAUUCUUUAUUAUUUUUAGCUAAACAUCUGGAACGAAGUGAGAAAUACGUUAGUAUUAUUCCAGGAAAUAAAAUCUAACUCAACGUUGACCUUUGAUUCACCGAUUCCAACUGUUCAACGACUCCUCUCCACCUCUACACCUGUCGUCUAGUGAAACAGCUGGUGCAAGCCGAAUAUCCAGUGGUGUAUCACCGAACUUCGCUAUGAGGUGACCGGCCUACGUUUUCCUCCGUUUCCCGCGUUUAUAUUUAGCACGGUCGCCACCAGUUUACGACACGCGAGGAAUUUUUCGUCCUGGGGAACUGGUUUCUUUCCUUGUAUCUAACAAGCGUUGUGCAUUCGAUCUGAAAUGAUUCUUUAAUUUCAUUUGUUGAUUAUACUUUGAUUAAUAAUGUGAGCCAUAAGUAGCCAGGUUCAGAAUAGGUCACAAUGGUGUUUAAUUUGAAAUGUAUUCUUUGCUUUUGAUCAGUCACGCCAUUAUACAUAUGUGUAUAUGUGAUUCAACUAUUCUCUCUUUCUUUCUCUCUCUCUCUCUCUCUCUCUCGCUCUAUGUUUAUUUGUGUGUGUGAUUUGAUACAGGUGAGCUCUAAACAGAAAUUAAAGUGUUGAACUGUAUGUUUAAGGUUAGGUUUACAGCUGCAUAGAUACUGAAAAAAUAUUUAGUAGUGCAACAUGAUUUCUUUCCUAUUUAAAUUUGGAGCUUAAAAAAUUGUAAAAAUCGUCGAUUCCUUUUGUUCAAACGUCUAGUUGUUGAAGAUUUAUUACGGUGACGAACAAUUGUUCGAUGCAGCUAUUUCUUGUCCUAGACAGACCUGAGAUAAUAGUCUACUAUUAUAGAAGAGGGCAGAAUCUUUCCGAAGAAUCAUUGUAGUCCUCGUACACCGGAAAUGCGUCAUCAACAAAUCGUUCGAGUCUGUUUACGGAAAGGAGAAGUCAAUGGAUGAUGGUUUUUACACUACUCCGAGAUCAUUUUCUGUUCGAACGUCCGGUUUUUAGUACCGUGCAGUAUUGAGGUCGGGCAAAUUGACGGUAUAGAACAGUCGAGGAUUAAUCUCUCUUGAAAUUAUGAUUUUUCUACUUGUUAACGGCUACGGUUCUUCAACAUGCGAGUUUGCGUUUCUAACCUGUACAUGUAACAGCAUUAUUAUUGUAAGUUUUGUUUCGCAAUUGCAUCUGCAGAACUCAUAAAUGCAUCACUUGAACUUCAGAUUCUAAGUCAUGUGUUAAAUCACUUUUCUUUUCACGAUAUUUUGAAUGAUCCAGUAAUACUUAUUAUACCUAAUGGAAAUAUCAAACAGAGUAGUUCUUAAUUAGAAUGAUUAGAAAAAUUAUUACCUUCAUUAGAAAAAUUUUGGAAGACUCAAAACUCACAAAAGGACUUAUUCUAACCUUAAUAUCAUAAAAAUGGAACUAGUAUUUGCCGCCUAAAGUAGGUGGAGUUGUGAACCGCCUUAAGCUACUAAAUAUUCCAUUCCGCCUAUAUUCUGCCCCAAAUUACGUAUCCAAUCACCAAUGUCGUACCCGAAACAAUUUUCUAGCCUAAAACAGAUUUCAAUCUAAGUUCAUCAUUCGUCAAACUCUCAAAUUUUAUUUACCAUCUUACAUUUUUUAAACUACAAUCUUAUCGAAUCUUAUUUAAUUUCCAUUUACAUAUUAUCGUUAAGGCAGUUCCAUAAUAGUGCAAUUAUAGUAUAAUUCCUCUGUUUUAAUUUAUGAAGAUUGUGAAUCCACGGUGAUGUGUGCGCGCACUUUCUUUCCCGCGCUUAUGCGAUCAGCCCUCCCCCGGUUCCCACGAGCAUUCUCCUGCUCAUUACGACUUCCCGAGGCAGAGGUGCACACGGAACCAAGUCGGUUUCUCGAAAGGAACACCGGUAACAACUCGACCCUCGACUGCUCCGUCAAUAGUAGCUGCUCGAAUGCGGCCUGUUUCAAUAUUUGUAAAUCCUGCCAUUCCCCCCCUGCCCCUGUUACGUCGACACUCGACAGUUCUCUGCUCGUCAGGAUACAAACAAGGCGAUUCGACUUCUUAACCGGGGAAACUUGUUCAGAAAGGAUGGAGAAGGUUAAUCUGGUCUUUAUUAAACAUUUUCUUUUUGUACUUCUAUAGUUGGACACUGGAGAACUCUUUAUGGUUAACAAGAAUUUUUUAUAUCUUUCUUUUUGCAUUUGUUAUAGAUUCUCGAAUUAGCUUAUAUAAAUAAUAAAUCUGGCUUAAAUGUCCUUCUUUUAAAUUUCAGCUAAAAUAAUAUCUGGUAAUAUUGAACAUUGAAGAUAUAGAAAGAAAUAAGUACAUAUAUAAAAAGUCAAAGCUAUUAUGUGCUAUAAAUUAAACAAAAUAUUUAACGAAAUAAAUUAAACAAAAUAAAACAAUUAUAUCCUCUAAAUUAAACUAAAACUAGCUAUCUUUUGUCAUAUAAGCAAUUAUAAUUGAAAUUAUAAAGUUAUUAGGAAUAAAAAUUAAAAUAAUAUUAAAAAAUUGUCAAGGAUACAAACAUUUCAUGUACGGCAAUAGUCAACUAACGCGACGUUUCAGUUAUCCAAAGGUUUCAUGAGAGAAAGGAUACAGCGGAUAUUUAUCAUGAUCACCAUAAUUACAUCAAACCACUCCUAUCCGUAAUUGCCACGAAACUCCGUAUUAGAUAUAUGCAAUAAAUCCCCAUGAACGUUGAGCGUUCGUGAAUUUAUUAACUUCUUGUUGUCGACUCACCUUACAUAAACGGAACACGUUUUCAAUUUUAUUCAUCAAAUAUUUCUAAUAUUUCCUUGUCAUGCAUUUAUAGUAUCGUAAAAUACAUUGAUAUUUCGUUUUUAUUUAUUGAAUUCAAAGUGAUACAUAAUUGAUUGUAAAAAGCUGUCCAUAUUCUAGAUUUCAGAUCUUCAAAGAUGAUAAUGUAUAAAGUGUCUAAUUUAAUGCAUAUUACAUGAGCCUAUGAUCAGAAUUUUAAUUAAGAUAGAACCUUUCUAAGACUAUUUGAAAAAAGGAAUACUUUCACUCAGAAGCUCUAAAUAUUAUAAAUUAUAUUAUGUACUCAAAUUCUUCCCAACAUUCGUCCCAAAUUUAUUAUUUACAUUUAGCAUUCUACCAGUUUAAAAAAUCACUAGAAAUCAGUACUUCCAACUCAAUAGGUUUCACAUUUAAUCCCACCAAAAACUUCGAAAAUUACAAAGAACAUAAAAAAUAAAUGCCGUUAAUUGACUGAAUGUACUACAAUUCCUUAAUCUCAGUCGUUCCAAAUAAAAGCACACCGCAUCCUAACCUCAAAUCGAAGGUCGAAUCGCGCCGUGUAAUCGUAGACACUCGAAGCGCGUGGUGUAAACAAUACGUUCCGCCUGUGAGAGAAGCACUGCACGAGCCUCAAGGUCCAAACGCGAUCGGUAGGAACGCAAAAAGGAGUUGUUAAUGGAAGUGGAGUUCCAUCGGGCGCGAGCGAGCUGGCCAAGUAUAUAAGGAAAUCCAGUCGGGGAAUUAUGCAGAUUGUAGGUUGGAAUCCAUCUGCUGAUGGCUCGGACAGGGCAUACUCGAACCUACGUGAGUUCAUCCACGGCACAGGACCAACUACCCAUCAGUUCUGCCUGUCGGUUUCGUUGCCUCCACUAGCAGGACGUUCCUCUUUCUUCUAUCUGUACUUUUGGCCUCUCCAUCCUUUCCUUCUACAGUAUACGAAACGGUACGAGGGAAGCAGGAGGUUGGUGGAAGAAGCUUGAUCAUUUCCGUGGAAUUACGGGGCUGUGAACGGUACAAAGUUACCUAGGGAGAAAGGGGGAAGAGUUAAAUUAAUGAAAUCGCGACGCGCAAGCCACGACGCGCAGCUAUUAGCCUGGAAUGUUCAAAUUGUUCCUGGCUUACGGUCGAGGUUUUAUGAUUGAACUUUGAACCUAUCUUUUGCGUUAGAAAAGACGAUAUCCCUGUAAAGUUCUGGCAGCGAGGAUUUGGUCGAGUUCUUUGGUGAUUACACGGGUAACUAUGCGAAGAAUGUUCGAUAAAAUUCCCUAGGGAAUUGGAAUGGCACGGUUGGCUGUGUGAUUGGAGAAACAAGUUUUGGAAUCUGUAGUAGAAUUGUUUGCGUGUAGCACGGUCUGUAUCGUUAGAGAGGAAGUUCAAUGUCCUUAUAAAAAUUCCCUGUGGGGCUUACGGUUGGUUAUACUACUAGGGAAAAUUGUAGAAUGCUUUCUGAAUAAAUACUUGAGAAAGCUUUACGGAAAUUUGUCGAUACUCUCAUCAAUCAAAUUUAUAGUUAUAUAUUGCGAAAUGUAUAAUUAAAUUCCCUAUAAUACUUUGUUACACCUUCAUAAGAAUAUAAUUCUUUAAAAAAUGCUACAAAUGCAACAAAUGGUUUCUACAUUGUUUUUGGCAAACUGUCAAUUACAAAACGGAAUUUAUUAUCGCAAUAAAUAUCUCUACAUUAUUCAGGCAUUGUACAUUGUGGAUUAUAACUCUCUCUGAAAGUGUUAAAUUCCUGUGUUCUCAAUUAAAUUAUCUGGAUACAGAUCGGAGGAGAUCGAUGGUAUCGUAAUGUUCAACUGACGAAACGAUGUAAAGGCAAGAGGAGAAGGGACGAUAGACGAGGAUAGAAGAGAAAGGAUAAGAAGGGAAAAGUUCUCCAGAGCGACAGGAUGAUGGAAAUUUGCGCCCAGUGAACCUUGUCCCGGAGCGUUGGGUUAUUUCUCUAUUUUCAUUCUUCUAAGAUAACUCUGGUCUGCUCGUGAUCCGGUUUACCUAUCUUGUCCAAUAAAUAUCGGGACAUCUCGUGAAAACUUCUGUUUAAACACGCUGAAAUCGCGUACACAAACAGAUUUCUCUAAUAAUCAAUGUUUUCUAUGCUGUAUUAUAAUGAACCGUUGUCAUCGAACCGUUAAGUGCUCUAUGUUGGGAAGACUGUUACUUUUACUGACAAGUACUGACGACAAGACACACAUAUGCAUAUCUUAAUAAAUGGUUUCUUCAUGGAUUAACUGGAACCUAACCUA